UAAAAGCCAGGCAGCUGGGCUCCAGAGGCUGUGCAGUCCCCCACUAGGUCGGGGCAGUUUGUCAGAGAGGCAAAUCACUUAGUGGAAAUCCAUUGCCCUGUUGAGAUCGGUCCAAAGUCGCAUUAGACACAGUUUGUGAAGGGUUGAUGCCCUAGGAGGGAAAAAUGCUAGUGAGUCAGUGACUCAAAACUCUAAUCCUUGCUUUCCAUGGUUUGAUUGUCUGACACACCCAGUUUCAGGCAGGGUCAUCGAGCUAAGGGCAGCCAGGCUUUCUUGUCUUUCCUCGGUGUACCAGUGGGAGCGGAAAUUACAGCACGCCACGGGAGGGGAGCUGAAGAAGAGGCCAGCCCACAGAGCCACAUGUCCCGCAUCAAAAGAGCAGACUUACUGAAGAAUGUCAGCCACGAGUAGGGGUUAGCGACGUGCAAACGAAGACGAGCUGUGUUAUAGUGAACUCUACAGCCUUAAUCCUGGCAUCCUGAGUAAUGCAUCCAGGCUCAAGGUGGCAGGGGCCCACACUGCUAGGACCUGUUAGCAAAGUACGGCUUGUUGUAUCUGUCUCUCCCGAGCCUAGUACAGUCCUGGUUUCAUCAUGGUGGUUGACUCACCCCAUGUCAAGCUAUGGAUUCUUCAAGCUAUACCCACAGCAAAAAAAUAGGCAUUUGAAAUAUUUUGUUCAAAAAGAAUUUGAUGAUAAUUUGAUGUUUCUAAUAAGUUGUAACUCUGGUAUUGAAAGAAUGUAUGUGCUCAAAAAGUCAAGAAAUAAACUUUUAAUAUCAAAACAUUAUUAUUUCUAUGUGUUUUAUAAAUAAACUUUUUAUUAAGGUCCCUCACAAAUUCAGGAUUAAAAAAGUGGGGAGUCUGUGCAAAAAGAGAAUUUUAGAAUGUGUUAGGACAUAAGUACAGGCAUUUCUUUUGAAAAACAAACAAACAAAAACCACAUACACGCACACGCUGACGUUUAGAAAGUGCCCCUGGUAGAGGGAGGCAGAGAGAAGCAGAGCAUGCGCGAUAGAAGCUGGUGGAGGAAGCGUUAGGUCAUCUGCUCCACCCGCCGCAGUGAGAUUAUCCCCCAUACGGCAGUUUAUGUUUCUGCGGUUUCCUGAGGGUUUGGGCUCGUUUUAAGUAAUUUUCUUCAAGGUCCUCUAAGUCAGUUUAAAAUUAUUUUGUGAACUAUUCACGCUAUCAUACGCUCCAGCCAAAUCUACCACAAUCUAAUAAGCAUCUGGAUAUAUGCUCAAUGCAACACGGCCUGGAGUCUCCUUUCCUUACAUUUUAGCUCUCCACUCGGAUCUCUUUGCCUCCCUGGUGUUUCAGUUUUUCCCAGGCACUGACUGCACCCCCUCUUGAGACACCAAUCCACCAGAGACUCGUUAAGAUGCGUGUGUGUGUCUCCAACCAGAGAUUUUACAAAAUGAACUGAAUAUAAGGUGGUAAGAAGUAGGUCAUUCUUGAGGGUUAUAACUUUUUUGGUCUUUGCUUCAUUUUCAUUUCAGCCAGCAUCGGGUAUUUCUUGAAGCUCAAUUAUGAGAAAGACACUGAGCCAUAGCUGUUCGGCCCUGGACUUUGCACAGAUUUUCUCUCCCUCCUCUGCCUCAAGGUGAUCAUACCCACUCACUCACUCACUCACAUAAACAUCGUUGUCCCCAUCUGCUUUUUUCUUUCUUUUUUCUUUUUUCUUUUUUUUUUUUUUUUUAACAUUUAGUACUUGUUUAAUGUUUUAUUCUCUGAGGUCACAAAGUUGACUUAGAAGAGUUUUUCUCAAACUUCCCAGUUGAAAAUAAUCACCUGGGGCAAAAAUACAGUUUCUUGGGCCUUCUGAGUCAGUUUAGCAUUAUUUAAUGAAAUUAUAUGUAAUUAUUUAAAUAUAAAUAAAAGAAAGUUCAUGUAUUCCUUGGCAUAUAUGUUCAGUAGGGCUA